CGGAUGAACGCUAGCGACAGGCCUAACACAUGCAAGUCGAGGGGCAGCACGGUGUAGCAAUACACGGGUGGCGACCGGCGCACGGGUGAGUAACGCGUAUGCAACCUGCCUACUACAAGGGGAUAACCCGUUGAAAGACGGACUAAUACCCUAUAACACAGGGAAUCCGCAUGGAUAUAUUUGUUAAAGAUUUAUCGGUAGUAGAUGGGCAUGCGUUCCAUUAGCUUGUUGGUGAGGUAACGGCUCACCAAGGCAACGAUGGAUAGGGGAACUGAGAGGUUGGUCCCCCACACUGGUACUGAGACACGGACCAGACUCCUACGGGAGGCAGCAGUGAGGAAUAUUGGUCAAUGGGCGAGAGCCUGAACCAGCCAAGUCGCGUGAAGGAAGAAGGAUCUAUGGUUCGUAAACUUCUUUUGCAGGGGAAUAAAGUGCAGGACGUGUCCUGUUUUGUAUGUACCCUGAGAAUAAGGAUCGGCUAACUCCGUG
rnacentral:rRNA from 1 species